GAUGAACGCUGGCGGCGUGCCUAAUACAUGCAAGUCGAGCGAACAGACGAGGAGCUUGCUCCUCUGAUGUUAGCGGCGGUCGGGUGAGUAACACGUGGAUAACCUACCUAUAAGACUGGGAUAACUUCGGGAAACCGGAGCUAAUACCGGAUAACAUGUUGAACCGCAUGGUUCAACAGUGAAAGACGGUCUUGCUGUCACUUAUAGAUGGAUCCGCGCCGCAUUAGCUAGUUGGUAAGGUAACGGCUUACCAAGGCAACGAUGCGUAGCCGACCUGAGAGGGUGAUCGGCCACACUGGAACUGAGACACGGUCCAGACUCCUACGGGAGGCAGCAGUAGGGAAUCUUCCGCAAUGGGCGAAAGCCUGACGGAGCAACGCCGCGUGAGUGAAGAAGGUCUUCGGAUCGUAAAACUCUGUUAUUAGGGAAGAACAAAUGUGUAAGUAACUAUGCACGUCUUGACGGUACCUAAUCAGAAAGCCACGGCUAACUACGUG
rnacentral:rRNA from 1 species